rnacentral:rRNA from 1 species
GAUGAACGCUAGCGGCAGGCUUAACACAUGCAAGUCGAGGGGCAGCGCGGAUGUAGCAAUACAUUGGCGGCGACCGGCGCACGGGUGCGUAACACGUAUGGGAACUUACCCUUUACUGGGAGAUAGCCCGGAGAAAUCCGGAUUAAUAUCCCAUAAUAAACGAAGUGGCAUCACUUUGUUUUGAAAGCUCCGGCGGUAAAGGAUGGCCAUGCGCACGAUUAGCUAGUAGGUGAGGUAACGGCUCACCUAGGCUACGAUCGUUAGGGGGCCUGAGAGGGUUAUCCCCCANACUGGUACUGAGACACGGACCAGACUCCUACGGGAGGCAGCAGUGAGG